GUUUGUUCCGUCAAUGCAAAUCCGGGUUCUUUGGGACUCACUGUAAUCUGACCUCUUAACUCUUACCUUCACCAUUCAAAUUCAAUAUGGUCUUGAUCCCGGAUCCCAGAUAGCACAAACCAUGUUUGUUGACAUUCACCACCUUUGUGUAUAUAUUAGCACAGCGGCUGUUGCCUAUAUAUAAAUGAGCCAUGCCUACUUUAGAGACACCAGUCAAUAAAAUGAAAUAAACGUAUCAAAUGUGGAUAAUAAUUACAGCAAAAAAUGUCAAUUAAGUAUACGCUAGGGAUACAUUUAUGAUUUUAUUGGCGAUAUGCUGACGCGGUCGCCAGGUGUUUACGGUGUUUCCUCCAAGACAUUGGUGCGGCUGGCUUCCGGGUUAAGUGGGCGUUGUGUCAAGAAGCAGUGCAGCUUGGCUGGGUUGUGUUUCAGAGGACGCACAGCUCUCGACCUUCGCCUCUCCGUAGUCCGUACGGGAGUUGCAGCGACGAGACAAGACUGUAACUACCAAUUGAAUACCACAAAGUCCCAUCUCCUAGCACCUCAGAAUUUUCCCCAUGGGCCAACUAGCAAUCUAGACCGUGUAAGUACACAUUGUUCAAGCCUGCUUAUCGCUGUGUGGAGGAGAAGCAUGAGCUGCAGUGGCUCGACGCCACCAAAUGCUUCUUCAAGGGUCCCUGUGGAUAGAGAGCCAUCGCACUGGACCACCUGCCACACAAACACUGCAGUAACUGUGUCCUGUUCAAAUGGGAAAGAGACGGCAUGUUGAAGGAGAAGUCGGGGCCUAAGAUAGCUGGGGAGCUGCUGAAGCCUCGAGGUGACGAGCAGCCCAAGUUCCUCAACGGCAUGCUGUAGUCCUCAGUCACUUACAGUCACCUUCAUCAUUGUCUUCAUCAUAGGAAGCGACUGCUGCUGGUGCUAUUGGACUUUCUGGUGUAUAUUUCUCUACAUGUUGUAGAGUGCUUUUUAAAUCUCCUUUUAUUGUUUUUGUUUUUUUACUGUGGAUAUAAUUUGAAGCUGAUUAUGGAUUUUAAAUUGCUGUGUUUUGAAUGGAUUCAAUUGUAUUUCCGAAUGAGUUGUUUGUUGUUCCCUCCUGCUGGCUUUGAUGGGAAUGUGCUGAUUAA